AGUGAACGCUGGCGGUAGGCCUAACACAUGCAAGUCGAACGGCAGCACAGUAAGAGCUUGCUCUUACGGGUGGCGAGUGGCGGACGGGUGAGGAAUACAUCGGACUCUACUUUUUCGUGGGGGAUAACGUAGGGAAACUUACGCUAAUACCCCAUACGACCUACGGGUGAAAGCAGGGGAUCUUCGGACCUUGCGCGAUUGAAUGAGCCGCUGUCGGAUUAGCUAGUUGGCGGGGUAAAGGCCCACCAAGGCGACGAUCCGUAGCUGGUCUGAGAGGAUGGUCAGCCACACUGGAACUGGGACACGGUCCAGACUCCUACGGGAGGCAGCAGUGGGGAAUAUUGGACAAUGGGCGCAAGCCUGAUCCAGCCAUACCGCGUGGGUGAAGAAGGCCUUCGGGUUGUAAAGCCCUUUUGUUGGGAAAGAAAAGCAGCAGGUUAAUACCCCGCUGUUCUGACGGUACCCAAAGAAUAAGCACCGGCUAACUUCGUG
rnacentral:rRNA from 1 species